CCUAAUCAUGCGAUGCUUACAAUACAAGAAGCAGUUGGUUCCACAGUUGCAUGGCCUUCUAAAAAAGUUAUUCCAAGAGAUAUGACAAGCGAAGUAUAAAAGGAUACUUAAGACUCCUUGAAAGUAGUAACUUUGUUUAUUUCUUUGUGUUGAAAGUAGUAACUUUUAGACUCCUUGAAUACUUAAAGAAUAUUUUGUUGUUGAUGACAGUGUUGAAUGUUUUAAACUAAAUUGUGGAUUGUUAAUUCAAUGUAGAAUGUUCUUACUUUUUGUUA